rnacentral:rRNA from 1 species
UCCAGACUCCUACGGGAGGCAGCAGUGGGGGAUAUUGCACAAUGGGGGAAACCCUGAUGCAGCGACGCCGCGUGAGUGAAGAAGUAAUUCGUUAUGUAAAGCUCUCUCAGCAGGGAAGAAAAUGACGGUACCUGAGUAAGAAGCCCCGGCUAACUACGUGCCAGCAGCCGCGGUAAUACGUAGGGGGCAAGCGUUAUCCGGAUUUACUGGGUGUAAAGGGAGCGUAGACGGCAGUGCAAGUCUGGAGUGAAAGGCGGGGGCUCAACCCCCGGACUGCUCUGGAAACUGUACGGCUGGAGUGCAGGAGAGGUAAGUGGAAUUCCUAGUGUAGCGGUGAAAUGCGUAGAUAUUAGGAGGAACACCAGUGGCGAAGGCGGCCUGCUGGACGAUGACUGACGUUGAGGCUCGAAAGCGUGGGGAGCAAACAGGAUUAGAUACCCCCGUA